rnacentral:rRNA from 1 species
GUGGGGAAUAUUGGACAAUGGGCGGAAGCCUGAUCCAGCCGUGCCGCGUGUGUGAAGAAGGCCUUUUGGUUGUAAAGCACUUUAAGCGAGGAGGAGGCUCCUUUAGUUAAUACCUAAAGAGAGUGGACGUUACUCGCAGAAUAAGCACCGGCUAACUCUGUGCCAGCAGCCGCGGUAAUACAGAGGGUGCGAGCGUUAAUCGGAUUUACUGGGCGUAAAGCGUGCGUAGGCGGCCAAUUAAGUCAAAUGUGAAAUCCCCGAGCUUAACUUGGGAAUUGCAUUCGAUACUGGUUGGCUAGAGUAUGGGAGAGGAUGGUAGAAUUCCAGGUGUAGCGGUGAAAUGCGUAGAGAUCUGGAGGAAUACCGAUGGCGAAGGCAGCCAUCUGGCCUAAUACUGACACUGAGGUGCGAAAGCAUGGGGAGCAAACAGGAUUAGAUACCCCAGUAGUCC